AUGGGCCGUAACACGUGUCUUCACCAGGUCCCACCCCCCGGAACCCUCCUUCGCGCCUGUAAAACCGCGCACCCGCUCCGGGUCCCCGUGGGGAGCUGCGCGGUUUGGUCGCGUUGGGGCGGAAUCAUCUUCAAUCCACCCCGCUGGUGCCCCGCACAAAAACAAAGGCUUCAAUUUAUGAACUCCGACGCGCGCGUCAAUAUUGCCGACGUCUUGUCAACAACACGAGCUUGUUUAUUUGCUCGCUUGCCCAACGCUCGCUGACGAUGGAUGCAACGUUUCCAAGGCGUCACUCCUCCUUGCGCGGCCGAGAUGUACCCAACAUACGACCCUCCCCUGUCAAGCUUCGCUCGGAGAUUAAAUCCACUAUUAUUUUGUUUCUUACUUGGAGGGUGUUUCGCAUGAAGUAGAGUUAAGUAACGUCUUCGUGAUUCAGAGAAAAACGAUGCUUACAGUUGGAGAAAAACGAGGUGGAUAAGUUUUCGAUAAAAAUGGGGUUAAAACACGAUUAACGAGUCGAAAAAAUAAGCGUCAAAUUUAAAAAAAAUAAUUACUGGAAAUGACUAACAUCUCUGUUUUUUUUUUUCUUUUUCGGAGUAAGACGUAUUUACAGGAAAUGCUUACAGCGGUAAUGUGAAACACGCAUACCCUAUGUCAAUAGCUCAUUGCGAUGUAGAACAAUUAUUUUGAUCAUGUUCCUUGUAUUUGGACGUAUUUCUGACAAACGGAACUCUAUACAUUAUGACGUGAGCCCUGUUAUGCAUGUAUUCUUAUGAGUCUCAGGGCUCAUGGCUUAAUGCACAUAGUUGCGUUUGAUAGAAAUACGUCUAUUUGUAACUUGAAAACGUCACGAACCAUAAAUUCUCAAUAUAUUUGAUGUUUUCGGUCUUUUCUGCAAGCAAGCAUAGUAUAUGACUAAAAUUUUGACGAAGUAGGCACACAAGUAUAGGACCUCGGGUGAAUAAUAAACUUAAGUAUUGAAACUGUGUGAUUUAACUUUUUAGUGUUUUUAAUGUCUUUAGCUUUUUUAACCCAUGCUCACAACAGAUGUUGCCAGGCCCUCGCGCUUGGUAGCUUUACGUAUAAUUAUCAGAAGGAAGGUAUUGUUUUUAGUUUUGGGGACAACGCCUUAACAAAACUACUCUGCUGGUGUAUUUUUUCCAUGCAGUUUUAAUGUGCGGUUUUGGAGAAUUUCCAUUUCAAUGCUUUGAUGCAA
rnacentral:lncRNA from 1 species